rnacentral:rRNA from 1 species
UGAGAGCCCCGUACAGUUGGACANCAAGCNUUUGUAAAGCUCCUUNGACGAGUCGAGUAGUUUGGGAAUGCUGCUCAAAAUGGGAGGUAUAUUUCUUCUAAAGCUAAAUACCGGCCAGAGACCGAUAGCGCACAAGUAGAGUGAUCGAAAGAUGAAAAGCACUUUGAAAAGAGGGUUAAACAGCACGUGAAAUUGUUAAAAGGGAAGCGCUUGUGACCAGACUUGCGUCCGGUGAAUCACCCAGCUCUCGCGGCUGGGGCACUUCGCCGGCUCAGGCCAGCAUCAGCUCGCUGUCGGGGACAAAAGCUUCAGGAACGUAGCUCUCUUCGGGGAGUGUUAUAGCCUGUUGCAUAAUACCCUUCGGCGGGCUGAGGUACGCG